rnacentral:rRNA from 1 species
GUCGCACGAGAAAGUGGAGCAAUCCAUGAGUAAAGUGGCGUACGGGUGAGUAACACGUGAAUCAUCUACCUUCGAGUGUGGAAUAACUGAGAGAAAUCUUAGCUAAUACCGCAUAAUACCUACGGGUCAAAGCAGCAAUGCGCUUGAAGAGGAGUUCGCGGCAGAUUAGUUAGUUGGCGGGGUAAUGGCCCACCAAGACGAUGAUCUGUAUCCGGCCUGAGAGGGCGCACGGACACACUGGAACUGAAACACGGUCCAGACUCCUACGGGAGGCAGCAGUGGGGAAUUUUGCGCAAUGGGGGAAACCCUGACGCAGCAACGCCGCGUGGAGGAUGAAAUCCCUUGGGAUGUAAACUCCUUUCGAUAGGGAAGAAUUAUGACGGUACCUAUAGAAGAAGCCCCGGCUAACUUCGUGCCAGCAGCCGCGGUAAUACGAGGGGGGCAAGCGUUGUUCGGAAUUAUUGGGCGUAAAGGGUGCGUAGGCGGUUUGACAAGUCUUGUGUGAAAUCUAUGGGCUCAACCCAUAGUCUGCAUAGGAAACUGUCGGGCUUGAGUAUGGGAGAGGUGAAGUGGAAUUUCCGGUGUAGCGGUGAAAUGCGUAGAUAUCGGAAGGAACACCUGUGGCGAAAGCGGCUCACUGGACCAUAACUGACGCUGAUGCACGAAAGCUAGGGGA